UGCCGCCAGGCAAAUUCUGUUUUAUCAACACGUNCCGAACUCAGAAGUGAAACGCCGUAGCGCCGAUGGUAGUGUGGGGUCUCCCCAUGUGAGAGUAGGGAACUGCCAGGCA
rnacentral:rRNA from 1 species